rnacentral:tmRNA from 1 species
GGGGCUGACCGGUUUUGACAGCGGGCAGAGAUGGUUUGUAAGCAUGCAGUGCGUCGUUGGCCGGCACUUUAAUCUCGGUUGAUAAACAAUUAACUGGCGAAAAUACUUACGCUCUCGCUGCGUGAUUGAAGUAUAGUAGAUCAACGCUUUAUCCAUUCACAAGGUGAUUGGACGAGACAUCACCCGGAGCUGUAGUUCCGAAGCGAUCCGAAACGGUGGUGCAGCAUAUCGGAAAUAGCCCGAAGGAAGUCCCGUACUUCGGGUGAAAUUCAAGGGAAUAAGGUUACGGUUGGUGGCUUCGGUCUUGCCGUAACACGAAAAUUAAGGCGAAGAUAAGCAUGUAGAAAGCAAAUGGUUUCCUCGUUUGGACGAGAGUUCGAAUCUCUCCAGCUCCACGA